rnacentral:tRNA from 9 species
AGAGGAAAAUCCGUCGACUUUAAAAAUCGUGAGGGUUCAAGUCCCUCUAU